CUGAUAUUUCAUUGAUAAGAUCCUUCAAACGGACAAACAGUCUUUAUCCUAACAGUCCCUGAAUCUACCACCUACUACGGGAAAAUACGGGAAAUCUGCUUUUCUCACAAACGACGCUUCCCGCUAGCAACUUUCUAGCAACAAUUAACAGGAACCCUCACUUUCCGAACGAAGGCUUUCCUCGACGAAUCCGAUGAUCUCGUGUCCUUAGACACAUCCCAUCAUAGUUUUCCUCUGCAGCAUCAUCGUGACGGAAAGUCAUUCUCUCGUGACGUCUCAUUAGCGAGUUACAUAGCGUCUUUACACUCGGUGGAUAUUCUACGUUUUAACAAAGAGUUAGUUCAGUAAUACUUGUAACGUAGACAAGGAAGUUGGGUACAACUUGGACUUUGAAGGAAGGCGCAUUUUGUUAUCCCGUUGACCGCGGAUUCGUUGUUGGGCCUGGGAUCAUUGUCAUUAGCAUCUCGAGUAUCUAAUUACCAGAGUUACUUGUCAAAUUCUGUAAUAAUCAUAUUUGCACUAGUAAAUAUCUUCUCUAUUGCAUAACAACAAUGUUUAAUCCAAAUGAAGAUUCGCUUUACGCCCCUGAUCCUAAUCAUAAUGUGAACCCGACAUAUAUAUCUUAUAUAUACCUUAUAUUUUACAUCUAUCUUAUAUCUAUAGGAUUUUGGUAACCAAAGGGAGGCUAUAUAGGGUUUUAUCGACAAAGAAUCAGUAUCUGUUGCACCGAAUUCAUCAAU